CUAAAUAAUAGAGUUUUUAUUUCAUUCGUUUAAUUUUCUUUUGUAAUAAUGGAGUAAUUUCUCCACUGGGGUUGAGGAAGAAGCCGGGUUAUUAUGUACAAUAUUUAGGAUACUUGGAGAUUUAAAGUGAAAAUAAGAUUUGCGCACUAAAUAGGUACAUGAAUAAAAUGGGCUAUGACUCGAAAAACGGCUAAAACUAAGCUUGUGCGCAGAAAAUAUGGACUUUGGA